UACGUAGGGUGCAAGCGUUAAUCGGAAUUACUGGGCGUAAAGCGUGCGCAGGCGGUUAUGUAAGACAGUUGUGAAAUCCCCGGGCUUAACCUGGGAACCGCAUUUGUGACUGCAUAGCUGGAGUACGGCAGAGGGGGAUGGAAUUCCGCGUGUAGCAGUGAAAUGCGUAGAUAUGCGGAGGAACACCGAUGGCGAAGGCAGUCCCCUGGGCCUGUACUGACGCUCGAUGCACGAAAGCGUGGGGAGCAAACAGG
rnacentral:rRNA from 1 species